rnacentral:lncRNA from 1 species
GCUUGAACUCAGAAGGCAGAGGUUGCAGUGAGCUGAGAUUGAGCCACUGCACUCCAGCCUGGCUGACAGAGCGAUCUUUUAGAAUGAUCUUUUAAGAAACUGAAAUCAGAGUACGCCCUCUCCUGCACUCUCAGUGUAACCUCCGCCUCCCGGAUUCAAGCAAUUCUCCUGCCUCAGCCUCCUGAGUAGCUGAGAUUACAGGUGUGUGCCACCACACCCAGCUAAUUUUUGUAUUUUUACCAAGUUGGUCAGGCUGGUCUCGAUCUCCUGACCUCGUGCAGCUGCUCAAUACGCAUUUGCUGAAUGAUAAAUCGAUGGGAUGUUGGAAGACUGAACUGCAGGAUGAGGCCUUGAUAUAUGCAGUGGCAUGAAAACAGGAGGUGAAUUCUAGACAUAUUUAGGAAGGGGAAUUGGCAGGACCUGUAAUUUGAAUGGGGUGGAGUUAUUACAGAAGUUGUAGAUUCUAGAAUGACUUCCAGGUUUCUUGCAUGGGAAAGAAGAGGAAUGCUGGAAUCAUUCACUAAUACAGAGGGGAAGCAGGUAGGGGCAGGGGAAAUGGGGAGAUGAAUUUUGGCCAAAAGUUUUCCACUGAGUUUGCAGUUGGGUCAUGGUGAUGUGAACAUGAAUAGCUUCAGUGGGGUAGGCAGAAGUCAGAUUGCGGUCAACUUGGUGGCAAUUGGGAGAUGAAGACAUGGAAGUAGAUAUACACUGCCCUUGAAGACAGCUUUCUAGGAGCAUGGAUGGGAGAGGAA